rnacentral:rRNA from 1 species
UACGGGGGGGGCAAGCGUUGUUCGGAAUUACUGGGCGUAAAGGGCUCGUAGGUGGCCAACUAAGUCAGACGUGAAAUCCCUCGGCUUAACCGGGGAACUGCGUCUGAUACUGGAUGGCUAGAGAUUGGGAGAGGGAUGCGGAAUUCCAGGUGUAGCGGUGAAAUGCGUAGAUAUCUGGAGGAACACCGGUGGCGAAGGCGGCAUUCUGGACUGCAACUGACACUGAAAGACGAAAGCCAGGGGAGCAAACGGG